rnacentral:rRNA from 1 species
UACGUAGGGGGCGAGCGUUGUCCGAAUUUACUGGGCGUAAAGCGCGCGUAGGCGGUUUCUUAAGUCUGGGGUGAAAGGUUCAACGCUCAACGUGAACAGUGCCUUGGAUACUGGGAGACUUGAGUCUGGGAGGGGGUAGUGGAAUUCCUGGUGUAGCGGUGAAAUGCGCAGAUAUCAGGAGGAACACCGACGGCGAAGGCAGCACUCUGGGCCGGUACUGACGCUGAGGAGCGAAAGCAUGGGGAGCGAACAGG